rnacentral:rRNA from 1 species
UAACCUGCCCAAGAGAUCGGGAUAACACCUGGAAACAGAUGCUAAUACCGGAUAACAACAGAUGAUGCCUAUCAACUGUUUAAAAGAUGGUUCUGCUAUCACUAUUGGAUGGACCUGCGGUGCAUUAGCUAGUUGGUAGGGUAACGGCCUACCAAGGCGAUGAUGCAUAGCCGAGUUGAGAGACUGAUCGGCCACAUUGGGACUGAGACACGGCCCAAACUCCUACGGGAGGCAGCAGAU